UACGGAGGGAGCUAGCGUUGUUCGGAUAUACUGGGCGUAAAGCGCACGUAGCGGCGCCGUAAGUCAGGGGUGAAAUCCCGGGGCUCAACCUCGGAACUGCCUUUGAUACAGCAAGUCUUGAGUUCGAGAGAGGUGGGUGGAAUUCCUAGUGUAGAGGUGAAAUUCGUAGAUAUUAGGAAGAACACCGGUGGCGAAGGCGGCCCACUGGCUCGACACUGACGCUGAGGUGCGAAAGCGUGGGGAGCAAACAGGG
rnacentral:rRNA from 1 species